rnacentral:rRNA from 1 species
UACGUAGGUGGCAAGCGUUGUCCGGAUUUACUGGGCGUAAAGCGCGCGCAGGCGGUCGUUCAAGUCGCGUGUGAAAGCCCCCGGCUCAACUGGGGAGGGUCACGCGAUACUGAUCGACUCGAAGGCAGGAGAGGGAAGUGGAAUUCCCGGUGUAGUGGUGAAAUGCGUAGAUAUCGGGAGGAACACCAGUGGCGAAGGCGACUUCCUGGCCUGUUCUUGACGCUGAGGCGCGAAAGCUAGGGGAGCAAACGGG